GCGAGAAGCCGUGUGAAGCAAAGUGGGACUGCUGCUCUGUGUCAAAUGAAACGUGACCUCGUUUGCUGAUGGAUGUGAAAUGAGUGGGUUUGUAUGGAAUCAGGAAUCACAGGGAAUUGCAGAGCCCUGCCUUGCUCGUCACCUGGAAAUGUUUCGACAAAUUUUAGCAGAUGACAGAAGUAGGGAGGCUGCUGCUCGCUCUGAAUCGUUUCUGCGUUUCUGAGAAUGAUGUGGGUAAAUAUUCGAUCACAAUCCAAAAUGCAAAGUGGCUUUCAUCCAUCAGUGGUGGCCUUACGGUUGUUGGGGCCCUGGGCAAGAGAGUCAUUCGGGCUUAAUUUUGAUGACUUACAAGUUUCGCUCGCCAGCCAUGGUUUUGAGGAUCCACACUUAAUAUUCAAUAUACCACGGUAUACAGUUUUGAGUAACCACGGUUUUCCAUGGCCACGCAUCAGCCUGCCACCUGCCAUUUUUCCCAUAAGCCUUUUGUCUUGCCAACCAUGAGAACUUUCAGGAACCUAACCCCAGCGGUUGGUGAAGGAAACCUGUAUAAGCAAGCCAGACAUUUUCGAUUUCAAUUUCAUUUUGCCUUACCCACAAGACUGCAAUGAAAGUAUCUUAAUACAAUAUAGAUAAUACAAAUAUUCAGUGUAAUUAGUUUUUAUUUUUAUCAAGUGUGGGGCCCCAAGCAGUCUCCUGGUUUGCCCUUCCCUAAGGCCGCUACUGCAUCCAUAAGGCAGACCUACCAGUAACUACCCAAAGAGAGGAACUAUAUUUUUUUUAAAAAGUAAAGUGCACAAGAGGAAGUAAGCAAGUAUUAUAGCUCAGCCACUAGAGGUCUCUUCAUGCCUGCAUUUUUUUCUCUGGAUUAGUACACAGACAUUCUUGUGCCAGAUCUCUAGACACCUUAAAUUACAACAAUAUUAAUCCAGGUCUUUCUCUUCUCCCCACAAAACUACUGAGGUUAAUGUAUGUGCUUUAAUAUUAAAACCUGGUGCAAUAAAGACUAUAGCAACUAAGCACUCUUCCCGUUUCACAGCGGGGAACAGUUUUCCUAGGAGAUUAUCUGAUGAAUUAAUCUAUAGUAACCGUUGUACAACACAUUAAAAUAAUAGGAAAUGAGGUGAGCAGCCAAAUGUAAGGAAUCCUGCUCUCUGAAGUACUCAAGGAAAUAUCCCUUGUUUACUGUACUGGAAUGGAGAAUUUCUAUCCAUUACACUCCAAAGCUUCAGAGAAGCUGAAAACCACUAUCAUGUCUUGUUUGGAUGUGAUAUUGGUGUCCAAACUGCUCUCGUUUGGAUGUGGAGUUGGUCAAAGCUGCUCAUAACUCUCUUGGAGACUGAUCUAAAACUCACUGGAGUUUACAGGAGUUUUCUAUUUAUUUAAAGGGACUUCAGAUUAGCCCUGAGAGCAAAAAUUGGACCUACGUACCUAUAAGUGUUAUUGGUUACAACUGUCAGGCCAGUUCUAAAAAACAAACACAGCAUUUGAUUUAAAGGUCCUUCAGUCCGAGAAACACAGCAGAAUGACUUUGCUUGACUGCACAGCAGUGCCUUACCCACAAUUUUCAGGUCCUUCCAUGGGGUUGACUGGAAAGCCCUUCUCAGUCCAGUAAACAGCAGCACUGCAAGAAGUACAGGAGUCAAAUAUUAGGUCAGCAGUGUCAACCUCAGACAAUUAACAAUAUCAUAAGUGUUUCCAGAUAAUCAUGAGAUUUAAAAAACAUGUUGGAUUAAUUGCUUUCUGUUUUCAGCCUUUUAGUGUACAGCUGGAUGAUGUUUCCAAUCUUUCCUUUGGAAAAUGAAUAAAAUCAGAUGCUGCUUC